rnacentral:rRNA from 1 species
AAACAUGUCCUUUUGAUUUUUAUUUAAGGUCUAACCUGCCCACUGAUUUAUUAAAUGGCCGCAGUAUUCUAACUGUGCAAAGGUAGCAUAAUCAUUAGUCUUUUAAUUGAAGGCUGGUAUGAAUGGUUGGACGAGAUACUAACUGUUUCAUUUAUAUUUAUUAUAGAAUUUUAUUUUUUAGUUAAAAAGCUAAAAUAUUUUUAAAAGACGAGAAGACCCUAUAAAUCUUUAUAUUUUUUGAGAUAUUAAUAAUAAAGAUAUAUUUUGUUAUUAUGUUAAAAAAUAUUUUAUUGGGGUGAUAUUAAAAUUUAAUAAACUUUUAAUUUUUAAUUACAUUAAUUUAUGGAUUAUUGAUCCGUUUUUAGCGAUUAUAAAUUUAAGUUACUUUAGGGAUAACAGCGUAAUUUUUUUGGAGAGUUCAUAUCGAUAGAAAAGAUUGCGACCUCGAUGUUGGAUUAAGAUUCAUUCUUGGGCGCAGCCGUUCAAGUUUUAAGUCUGUUCGACUUUUUAAAUCUUACAUGAUCU